UUAAUGUUCAAUUUUACUAUACAUCCAAAAUCUCUACUUAAAUAAGAGCUAUUCCAAAUUCAUUGGAGAGUAGACUGCGGAAAUACUGCCACAAUGUUAUGGAGAGUUCUUUUAUUGGCGAUACAAGUGAUCAUCACGGCCGGUCAAAAGCGUCGCUGGUAUAGCAACGAUUUUAAUCUAAACAACUUAUAUAAUCAUAAUUUAAAUGUGAACAGCGUACUUAAUGAAUACCUCAAUGUUAACGACGUAGUGAACCGAAACUUAAAUCAGCAAUACUUGAACAACAACAACUAUCUUAGUCAGAACUUAUAUGGGCUCGACAACAGAAUUGGAAACAGACUUUACAACAAUGAGCAAUCGUUGACCGGUGGAAGGAUUUGUGGGCAGAAAUGGUGCGGUGGAAGAAAUGGCUUGCCAAAUAACUUAAACUACAAAAAUGCGCAGAAUUAUAAUAAUGAACCGCGGUCCAAAACUCAACCUCCAAGAGGUCUUGGCGACUGGGGUCAACUAAAAAUGAUGUUUGUGUAAACAGUUGGCGUAAGAAUAGUAGGUUACAUCAAGUACAUGAAUGGCGUCAUUUAACCUGAGUUGAAGUGAAGUUGCACACUCUACUUUUCAAUUUGACUUGAUUGUAACAUUACAAAUAAAUAACUCAUAUAAUCACAUUUGCUUGCUUGCUUGUAUUAACUAUGUCAAAAUAUUUUUGUAAAAAUUUAACUAUAAUUUGAAUGGUUGUAUUGUAUAUGUGAAGACUCGUUUUUUUUAAAUAUUUAAAUUGUAAGAACUUACGUUCGAAUUACAUCCCCAUAAAUCGUACAUAAGUAAGUUAUGGACAAUAUUUUACUCAGAUUUCAUAUUCAGCUCGUAUCAACUUCAGCUCAAAAUCAAGCAAAAUGUUGUGGAAAGGUGUCGUUAUUCUAUUGGUGUUACAUGUGAUCAUCACCAGCGGCCAACACCACGCGAGCGACGAUGAGAACCACGGGAAGUGGUGUUGCGGCGAAACAAAUAAUAUACACCUACACAACAAUAACGUGAGGAGACCAAACAACCCUAAUAACCUUCAGCGCAAUCUUGGAAGGUGGUCCCGAAUUAGUAAUCGAGACGAUGAUUUCGAUAACAACAACGUUGAAGUAUUAUGAUACUAUAGAAACAGUAGAUUUUACAUCAAGUGCGUGAAUCUCUGUCUUCGCCUCGACGCGUUUAGUUUUAAUGGGAUUCAUUAACGCGAUAUAUACUCUGCUGUUCACAUAAAUUGUAACGAAAUUAAACUGACACAUUGCAAAUUCA